rnacentral:rRNA from 1 species
AACGUAGGAGACAAACGUUAUCCGGAGUUACUGGGCGUAAAGCGUGCGUAGACGGUUAUGUAAGUCAGAUGUCGAAGCCCAAGGGCUCAACCUUGGAAUUGCAUUUGAGACUGCAUAGCUAGGGUGCGGAAGAGGGAAGCGGAAUUUCCGGUGUAGCGGUGGAAAUGCGUAGAUAUCAGGAGGGAACACCCGGUGGGCGAA